rnacentral:rRNA from 1 species
UGAGUACAAGAUGCUACGGCAUUGAAGCAGUCUAUGUCAUACUUCCAAGAAAAGCUUGCAAUGUCAUAAACAAAUAAUGCCUGUACCAUAACCGACACAGGUGGGUAGGUAGAGUAUACUAAGGGGCGCGAGAUAACUCUCUCUAAGGAACUCGGCAAAAUGACUCCGUAACUUCGGGAGAAGGAGUACCUUAUUUUAUAAGGUUGCAAUAACAAGGUCCAAGCAACUGUUUACCAAAAACACAGGUCUCCGCUAAGUCGUAAGACGAUGUAUGGGGGCUGACGCCUGCCCAGUGCCAGAAGGUUAAAGAAGUUGGUUAGCAUUAGCGAAGCUGAUAACUGAAGCCCUGGUGAACGGCGGCCGUAACAAUAACGGUCCUAAGGUAGCGAAAUUCCUUGUCGGGUAAGUUCCGACCCGCACGAAAGGCGUAAUGAUUUGGAUACUGUCUCGGAGAGGGGCUCGGUGAAAUAGACUUGUCUGUGAAGAUGCGGACUACCUGCACCUGGACAGAAAGACCCUAUGAAGCUUUACUGUAACUUGAGAUUGAAAUUGGACUUUAUUUGCGCAGUAUAGGUGGGAGACCUCGAAAGUAUUCUUGCGGGAAUAUUGGAGUCAUCAGUGAGAUACCACUCUUAUAAUGUUAGAUUUCUAACUUUGUAUCAUUAUCUGGUCAAAGAACAGUUUCAGGCGGGCAGUUUGACUGGGGCGGUCGCCUCCCAAAUGGUAACGGAGGCGCACAAAGGUUUCCUCUGAACGUGUAGAAAUCGUAUCUAGAGUGUAAAGGCAUAAGGAAGCUUGACUGUGAGACCUACAAGUCGAGCAGGGACGAAAGUCGGUCUUAGUGAUCUGACGGUGCUGAGUGGAAAGGCCGUCACUCAACGGAUAAAAGUUACUCUAGGAUAACAGGCUGAUCUCCCCCAAGAGUUCACAUCGACGGGGAGGUUUGGCACCUCGAUGUCGGCUCAUCGCAUCCUGGGGCGGUAGUACGUCCCAAGGGUUGGGCUGUUCGCCCAUGAAAGCGGUACGCGAGCUGGGUUCAGAACGUCGUGAGACAGUUCGGUCCAUAUCCGGUGUAGGCGUUAGAAUAUUGAGAGGAGCCUUCUUUAGUACGAGAGGACCGAGAAGGACAUACCUCUGGUGUACCAGUUAUCGUGCCAACGGUAAACGCUGGGUAGCUAUGUAUGGAGAGGAUAACCGCUGAAAGCAUCUAAGUGGGAAGCCCACCUCAAGAUAAGUAUUCUCAU